rnacentral:rRNA from 1 species
UACGUAGGCAGCGAGCGUUGUUCGGAGUUACUGGGCGUAAAGGGUGUGUAGGCGGCGCGGUAAGCGUGCGGUGAAAGCCCGGGGCUCAACCCCGGGUCGGCCGUGCGGACUGCCGGGCUGGAGCACUGUAGAGGCAGGUGGAAUUCCGGGUGUAGCGGUGGAAUGCGUAGAGAUCCGGAAGAACACCGGUGGCGAAGGCGGCCUGCUGGGCAGUAGCUGACGCUGAAGCGCGACAGCGUGGGGAGCAAACAGG